UACGAAGGGGGGCUAGCGUUGCUCGGAAUUACUGGGCGUAAAGCGCGUGUAGGCGGCCAACUAAGUCGGGCGUGAAAUCCCACGGCUCAACCGUGGAAGUGCACUCGAAACUGGAUGGCUAGAGUCCUGGAGAGGAAGGUGGAAUGCUUGGUGUAGAGGUGAAAUUCGUAGAUAUCAAGCGGAACACCGGUGGCGAAGGCGGCCUUCUGGACAGUGACUGACGCUGAGACGCGAAAGCGUGGGGAGCAAACAGG
rnacentral:rRNA from 1 species